rnacentral:rRNA from 1 species
GAUUGAACGCUGGCGGUAUGCUUAACACAUGCAAGUCGAACGGAAACGAUACUAGCUUGCUAGUAGGCGUCGAGUGGCGGACGGGUGAGUAACGCGUAGGAAUCUGCCUGAUAGUGGGGGAUAGCCCGAAGAAAUUCGGAUUAAUACCGCAUAAUCUAUUCGUAGUAAAGUGGGGGACUUUCGAGCCUCACGCUAUCAGAUGAGCCUGCGUAAGAUUAGCUUGUUGGUAGGGUAAAAGCCUACCAAGGCGACGAUCUUUAGCUGGUCUGAGAGGAUGAUCAGCCACAUCGGGACUGAGACACGGCCCGAACUCCUACGGGAGGCAGCAGUGGGGAAUAUUGGACAAUGGGGGCAACCCUGAUCCAGCAAUACCGCGUGUGUGAAGAAGGCCUGAGGGUUGUAAAGCACUUUCAAUUGUGAAGAAAAGUUAGCGGUUAAUAACCGUUAGCCUUGACGUUAACUUUAGAAGAAGCACCGGCUAACUCCGUGCCAGCAGCCGCGGUAAUACGGAGGGUGCAAGCGUUAAUCGGAAUUACUGGGCGUAAAGCGUGCGUAGGUGGUUUAUUAAGUCAGAUGUGAAAGCCCCGGGCUUAACCUGGGAACUGCAUUUGAAACUGGUCAACUAGAGUAUGGUAGAGGAAAGUGGAAUUUCUGGUGUAGCGGUGAAAUGCGUAGAUAUCAGAAGGAACAUCAAUGGCGAAGGCAGCUUUCUGGACCAAUACUGACACUGAGGUACGAAAGCGUGGGUAGCAAACAGGAUUAGAUACCCUGGUAGUCCACGCCGUAAACGAUGAUAACUAGCCGUUGGGGGGAUUUACCCUUUAGUGGCGAAGCUAACGCGUUAAGUUAUCCGCCUGGGGAGUACGGCCGCAAGGUUAAAACUCAAAGGAAUUGACGGGGACCCGCACAAGCGGUGGAGCAUGUGGUUUAAUUCGAUGCAACGCGAAGAACCUUACCUGGUCUUGACAUCCUGCGAACUUUCUAGAAAUAGAUUGGUGCCUUCGGGAACGCAGUGACAGGUGCUGCAUGGCUGUCGUCAGCUCGUGUCGUGAGAUGUUGGGUUAAGUCCCGUAACGAGCGCAACCCCUAUCCUUAUUUGCCAGCACAUCAUGGUGGGAACUAUAAGGAGACUGCCGGUGAUAAACCGGAGGAAGGCGGGGACGACGUCAAGUCAUCAUGGCCCUUACGACCAGGGCUACACACGUGCUACAAUGGGAAGGACAAAGAGCCGCGAAGCCGCGAGGUGUAGCUAAUCUCAUAAACCUUUUCGUAGUCCGGAUUGGAGUCUGCAACUCGACUCCAUGAAGUCGGAAUCGCUAGUAAUCGUAGAUCAGAAUGCUACGGUGAAUACGUUCCCGGGUCUUGUACACACCGCCC